rnacentral:lncRNA from 12 species
CUCAUUUCCUCUCGUGUUCCUGUAGAGAUGUCGUGGCCUCACUUGGCUUUUAUGAUGCUGUGGGCUUGGAGUGCCUGCUAGGGAAAUGGUAAUGCUUGUUAUUUGGGGAUCUUGGGGAAGGGGAAAGGAGACCAGCGGCAAGCUGAUGUGAAGUUAAAUUAAUGCUUUAGUCCUUAGCCUAGAGACUGGGGUGGGAAGCGGUAGAUGAAAAGAUACGAAAUCUGAUAUUCACUAAGUAAGCUCUUAAAACUCACGCAUUAGCCUGGGAGGCUGCCCGUGGAACAGAAUAACUGCACUGAUGCAGCUGAAAUGCUCCGUGCCAGAGCUAAGCCCAAAGCAGCGGGGCAGUGCCGGGGGCGAGCAGGGCAACGCCGGGGGCGAGCGGAGCAAUGCCGCGGGCGAGCGGGGCAAUGCCGCGGGCGAGCGGAGCGGUGCCGCGGGCGAGCGGGAUCCGCGGCGCUCGGACUGACACAUGUCGCAGCCCCGAGGAGACACCAGCGGCUGGGAAACGCUCUCGGGCCUUGGGCUGCAAGAUGGGGGAUGCCUCCCCAAGAAGAGUAGAAUAAAGAAGUCGUG